AAGCACUCCUGCUUAUAUCAGAAGAUACAACAAUGGAAUAAUUAAUUGUUUGUCUCUUAGGAUUACAAUGGAUUAUAAAUAAACUAGAAGGAAAAUGGGUUUUUCAGGAUGCAACAAUCAAUGACAUUUUGUGUGGUUCCUCUUUGGAGAAGAGGUAAAUGCAUUUUGGACACAUGAAGAAUUUUGGCUGAAACCCCAAAACUGAGAACAAUGAGUUAUAAAUAACCGCACAUUCUAAAGAGAGAUGCUAGACACAUCCAUGGAAGAUCCAGUGAAAAGAGCUGUUCCAGCAACUAUCAACCCCUACCACCACCUCUAACCUACUUACGUGAAGUCUAAGGUUCAAAAGUGGAUUAAAAAGCACUCUUAAGAGAGAAGAACAGCUCAGACUCACAGAGAAUACAAUGGAUCCUGGAAACUGCUUCUCAAUCUGAAAACAAGCAAUGGGCUGGAGUCAUCUGAGUUAGCAAAAUAAGGACAGAAGAUUGUCAUAAGGGGCAGCUUGUACUUCAGCCAUAUAGCAAGGGAGUCCAACAGCAGGAUGAGGAUUGAUAGCAAUAUCCUGCUCGGCUUCCUAUUACAAGUCCUUGAGCCAGAGUGUGACAGAAGUAGGCUGAGUAGAGGGGAGACACUUUGAUUUGGAUGAGAAAUUAAAGUUUUGGGGCCACCUGUGUGACUCAGUCAGUUGGGCAUCCGACUUCAGCUCAGGUAAUGAUCUCAUGGUUUG